GACGAACGCUGGCGGCGUGCCUAAUACAUUCAAGUCGAACGCAGUGGGGACGGUUGCGUAACACGUGGGUAACCUCCCAUCAGAGGGGAUAACACUUGGAAACAGGUGCUAAACCGCAACUGAUGGAUGGAACCGCAGUGCAUUAGCUAGUUGGUGAGGUAACGGCUCACCAAGGCCACGAUGCAUAGCCGGCCUGAGAGGGUGAGCGGCCACACUGGGACUGAGACACGGCCCAGACUCCUACGGGAGGCAGCAGUAGGGAAUAUGCGGCAAUGGGCGAAAGUCUGACGGAGCAACGCCGCGUGAGUGAAGAAGGUUUUCGGAUCGUAAAACUCUGUUGGUGGGGAAGCGGUAUCUAACGAGAAAGCAACGGCUAACUACGUGCCAGCAGCCGCGGUAAUAC
rnacentral:rRNA from 1 species